rnacentral:lncRNA from 1 species
CCUAUAGCACGUCAAGCAUGCUCUUGCCUCAGCGCAUUAGAACUUGCUAUCUCCUCUGUCUUGAAAAUUCUUUCACUAGAUAUCCACAUGGCUCACCCUUAUCAAGUCAAUUUCAGUUUUUGCUCAAAUGUCCCUUACCAAUGAGUCCUUCUCUGACUAAUAUCUAAAAUAGCAGCCACCUGACACCACUGUCUAACCCUGCUCUGUUCUUCAAAGCACACGUAUGUUUUUCUGUCUCCAUACACUACAAAGAUCCUUGAGAACAAGGAAUUUUUUUGUUUACCACUCAACAAGCACCUAGAUGAGUGCCUCACCUGGCAUAUAGUGAGAGUUCAACGAAUAUUUUUGAUUGAAUACUAAAUUACAGGAGGGAAGGACAGGAUAGAAACACACGUAGAUUUCUAGAUUUUAGGGCAUCCUCCAUUUUUCUGUUACUUAUACAGUAGGAUAAUCAGGGGAAAGAGUAUGGGAAGUGUGGGGUUAGAGAUCUGCAGACAGUGGAGAGCAAGUUAACUAGAAAAAUAUAAUGAAAUUUCCUGGCACUGUUCAGAGCCCAUUUAAGGCUGAAAUUACUAAUUUAGUGAUGCCAAACUAUUCAGCAGGACAAUUUUCUGUGACAGAGUACAGACAUGAAGAAGCAUGUUGGUCCAUUCAGGGCAGAGGAUUUGGCUGGGGAAAAGGUAGUACUGGGGCAGGCUUAAGAAUAAGUAAGAGCAGGAUUGUAAUGAUGUACCUUGAAUCUAAAAUGGAUAAGGAGGGAAGUGAGGAGUGAGGAUUAAGUACAGGCUUUCAACAGAUUGGAGGUUCUGAUUAAGUGAAAAAACAGUUAUGGUGAAGUUCUUGAGCAGUCAAGCUUAAAGGAUAUCAGGCUGUGAUUGGACAGAGGGAUGUUCUAAUUACUGAAUCGUGAUGCGAUAGCGGUUCUGGUGACAAGGUCCAGGGUUUUGACUGGGAUUGGGAGGCUGACAUAAGGGUCCUUAGAGAUGAGGCUCGGACGUUAAAUGAGUUGUCCACAUUGACUCUGAAAUUAUCAGGAUGGAAGAUGGUUAGAGGAGAGAAAGUAAGACAAGGAGCUGGAUGCACAAAUAAGCAGAUGAUCUCUACACUGGCAGCUGACAAAGUCUAAAAAGUAAGCGUCAGAGAGGCAAAGGUUUUUACAAGAGGCGACAGUACUGGGCACGCAGCCCCUCAUCUUUGGAACCUGGGAAGUGAGAAUACUAAUCCAUAAGAAGGGGUUCCAGGGAAUGCUGCACCCUCAGGGGACGGCCAGGUCUCCGUCCAAGGAGUG